UUCGCCCUUAGAGUUUGAUCCUGGCUCAGGACGAACGCUGGCGGCGCGCCUAACACAUGCAAGUCGAACGAGCGAGAGAGAGCUUGCUUUCUCAAGCGAGUGGCGAACGGGUGAGUAACGCGUGAGGAACCUGCCUCAAAGAGGGGGACAACAGUUGGAAACGACUGCUAAUACCGCAUAAGCCCACAGCUCGGCAUCGAGCAGAGGGAAAAGGAGCAAUCCGCUUUGAGAUGGCCUCGCGUCCGAUUAGCUAGUUGGUGAGGUAAUGGCCCACCAAGGCAACGAUCGGUAGCCGGACUGAGAGGUUGAACGGCCACAUUGGGACUGAGACACGGCCCAGACUCCUACGGGAGGCAGCAGUGGGGAAUAUUGCACAAUGGGGGAAACCCUGAUGCAGCGACGCCGCGUGGAGGAAGAAGGUCUUCGGAUUGUAAACUCCUGUUGUUGAGGAAGAUAAUGACGGUACUCAACAAGGAAGUGACGGCUAACUACGUGCCAGCAGCCGCGGUAAAACGUAGGUCACAAGCGUUGUCCGGAAUUACUGGGUGUAAAGGGAGCGCAGGCGGGAAGACAAGUUGGAAGUGAAAUCUAUGGGCUCAACCCAUAAACUGCUUUCAAAACUGUUUUUCUUGAGUAGUGCAGAGGUAGGCGGAAUUCCCGGUGUAGCGGUGGAAUGCGUAGAUAUCGGGAGGAACACCAGUGGCGAAGGCGGCCUACUGGGCACCAACUGACGCUGAGGCUCGAAAGUGUGGGUAGCAAACAGGAUUAGAUACCCUGGUAGUCCACACCGUAAACGAUGAUUACUAGGUGUUGGAGGAUUGACCCCUUCAGUGCCGCAGUUAACACAAUAAGUAAUCCACCUGGGGAGUACGACCGCAAGGUUGAAACUCAAAGGAAUUGACGGGGGCCCGCACAAGCAGUGGAGUAUGUGGUUUAAUUCGACGCAACGCGAAGAACCUUACCAAGUCUUGACGUCCUGCGACGAUGCUGGAAACAGUAUUUUCCUUCGGGACGCAGAGACAGGUGGUGCAUGGUUGUCGUCAGCUCGUGUCGUGAGAUGUUGGGUUAAGUCCCGCAACGAGCGCAACCCUUACUGUCAGUUACUACGCAAGAGGACUCUGGCAGGACUGCCGUUGACAAAACGGAGGAAGGUGGGGAUGACGUCAAAUCAUCAUGCCCUUUAUGACUUGGGCUACACACGUACUACAAUGGCGUUAAACAAAGAGAAGCAAGACCGCGAGGUGGAGCAAAACUCAGAAACAACGUCCCGGUUCGGACUGCAGGCUGCAACUCGCCUGCACGAAGUCGGAAUUGCUAGUAAUCGUGGAUCAGCAUGCCACGGUGAAUACGUUCCCGGGCCUUGUACUCACCGCCCGUCA
rnacentral:rRNA from 1 species